UCCGGUUUGUCACCGGCAGUCUCCUUAAAGUGCCCAACUGAAUGAUGGCAACUAAGGACAAGGGUUGCGCUCGUUACGGGACUUAACCCAACAUCUCACGACACGAGCUGACGACAGCCAUGCAGCACCUGUCUCCGGGUUCCCGAAGGCACUCCCGCAUCUCUGCAGGAUUCCCGGGAUGUCAAGAGUAGGUAAGGUUCUUCGCGUUGCGUCGAAUUAAACCACAUGCUCCACCGCUUGUGCGGGCCCCCGUCAAUUCAUUUGAGUUUUAACCUUGCGGCCGUACUCCCCAGGCGGUCGACUUAUCGCGUUAGCUGCGCCACUAAAGGGUCAAGCCCCCCAACGGCUAGUCGACAUCGUUUACGGCGUGGACUAC
rnacentral:misc_RNA from 1 species